AAUACUGUGGGAGAUGCUGAGUGCCAGCAUUAAAGCUGGAAGUGUUUGAGGGCUGUGGACAGAACUCCCACGGAGAGGCAGAGGAAGUGCAGCCUGACAGAUGGAAUCAGCGCCUUUCCAGGAAUGCCCCUGCAUGGGACAUCAACCUCUUGUUCCACAAAAUGCUUCACUCCAGUCACUAUCCCCAAAGUCCUUCAGAAGAAAACUAGCAGCUGAAGAGACUGGCAAUUCUCAUUCUACCACAUCACACUAACAGCAUGUCCUUUCCUGCAUCUUCAACCUUGAGCUGUACCUGUUCAGGAGCUGGUGGAUGAAUGCAGUGACCAGAGGGCUGCACAGAGGCUUCCAGCCACAGCUGAACUUCCUUUGCAUUGUGAGCUGCUGAAAAUAGCUUUGAGGGCAGCUAGGAGAACCUGUACCUAGGCAUUGAAUUCAAUACCUUAGUAACAUGGCUGCUUUCUGUUCAGCUGACCACAGAUGGUUUUGACUCCUUGGAAAUAAUAUUAUUUGCAAUUCAGUUUCCUGCAUCCAAAUAUUUAAAUUUAAAAAGUAGCCAAAGUAAUCCACACAAAAACAAUAUGGAAAGAGAUGUGGGAAGGACUGCAAGACAGUCUCACCGUAAAUGAAAUAAGGGUAUUUGAAUCUCAGAGAAAUAUUUCUAUCCUUGCAGACAUUUUUUCACCCUUAAUAAAAAGAAGUAGAAUAGGAAUUUGCUGUUAAAGAUUAUAUCUGAAUCAAUGUAAUAAAAAUACUGCAUUCCAAGAGAACAUAGAUGAAGUAAU